CCUACGGGAGGCAGCAGUGAGGAAUAUUGGACAAUGGGCGCAAGCCUGAUCCAGCCAUGCCGCGUGCAGGAUGACGGUCCUAUGGAUUGUAAACUGCUUUUAUACGAGAAGAAACACCCCUACGUGUAGGGACUUGACGGUAUCGUAAGAAUAAGGAUCGGCUAACUCCGUGCCAGCAGCCGCGGUAAUACGGAGGAUCCAAGCGUUAUCCGGAAUCAUUGGGUUUAAGGGUCCGUAGGCGGUUUAGUAAGUCAGUGGUGAAAUCUCCCCGCUCAACGGGGAAACGGCCAUUGAUACUGCUAGACUUGAAUUAUUAGGAAGUAACUAGAAUAUGUAGUGUAGCGGUGAAAUGCUUAGAGAUUACAUGGAAUACCAAUUGCGAAGGCAGGUUACUACUAAUGGAUUGACGCUGAUGGACGAAAGCGUGGGUAGCGAACAGGAUUAGAUACCCUGGUAGUCCACGCCGUAAACGAUGGAUACUAGCUGUUGGGUGCAAACUCAGUGGCUAAGCGAAAGUGAUAAGUAUCCACCUGGGGAGUACGUUCGCAAGAAUUGAAACUCAAAGGAUUGACGGCNGAGAGNGCGACGACGACGACGAGGGAGGAGG
rnacentral:rRNA from 1 species